AAGUCGUAACAAGGUUUCCGUAGGUGAACCUGCGGAAGGAUCAUUAACGAAUAACUAUGGUGUCUUGGUUGUAGCUGGCUCCUCGGAGCAAUGUGCACGCCCGCCAUUUUUAUCUUUCCACCUGUGCACCGACUGUAGGUCUGGAUGGCUCUCGCACUCCGGUGCGGAUGCGAGGAUUGCUCUCGGGCUCUCCUCGAAUUUCCAGGCUCUACGUCUUUUUACACACCCCAAACGUAUGAUACAGAAUGUAGUCAAUGGGCUUGAUCGCCUAUAAAACACUAUACAACUUUCAGCAACGGAUCUCUUGGCUCUC
rnacentral:misc_RNA from 1 species